rnacentral:lncRNA from 1 species
AAGAAGCUGUAAUAGCUGCUGCUGCUGCUGAAGCAGUUGCUUUGGCAAAAGCUGCAUUAGAAGUUGCAAAAGAUGCUGUGAUGAUGGUCGGCCAUAACAAGUCAGAUGACACUGUGGCAGGUGUGGAUACUACCCAGCUGCUUGAGAGGUUUCAACCUGGCGAGACGGGGCGAAACAGCAUAGUUGGGGAGCUAAAGACAAGUGAGAUGAGACGGAGCGAAAGUAAUUCAUCCGGAAACUCACAUACAGAUUUUGAGGACCUGGAACCAACACAUGAAGAGCUGGAACUUCUUCAAACAGAGCUUUUAAAUGGUAUAGCUGUAAGAUCGAAGCGUCAAAAUGAACGGAAUGCUAAAAGAGCUACAAGUGAGAUCAGAUGGAGUGAAAGUAAUUCAUCCGGAAACUCACAUACAGAUUCUGAGGACCUGGAACCAACACAUGAAGAGCUGGAACUUCUUCAAACAGAGCUUUUAAAUGGUAUAGCUGUAAGAUCUAAGCGUCAAAAU